rnacentral:tRNA from 1 species
GGCCUCGUGGUCUAGUGGUAUGAUUCUCGCUUCGGGUGCGAGAGGUCCCGGGCUCGAUUCCCGGUGAGGCGC